GGAGGGUAUCCGAAUGGCUAGGAGUCUGAUUCGAAAUCAGAUGCUGGGCAACCAGUUGAGGGUUCGAGUCCCUUGCCCUCCGC
rnacentral:tRNA from 1 species